rnacentral:rRNA from 1 species
UGGGGAAUAUUGCGCAAUGGGCGAAAGCCUGACGCAGCGACGCCGCGUGAGGGAUGAAGGCCUUCGGGUUGUAAACCUCUUUCAGCAGGGACGAAGCGAGAGUGACGGUACCUGCAGAAGAAGCACCGGCCAACUACGUGCCAGCAGCCGCGGUAAUACGUAGGGUGCAAGCGUUGUCCGGAAUUAUUGGGCGUAAAGAGCUCGUAGGCGGUUUGUCACGUCGGCUGUGAAAUCUCGGGGCUCAACCCCGAGCCUGCAGUCGAUACGGGCAGACUAGAGUGCUGUAGGGGAGACUGGAAUUCCUGGUGUAGCGGUGAAAUGCGCAGAUAUCAGGAGGAACACCGGUGGCGAAGGCGGGUCUCUGGGCAGUAACUGACGCUGAGGAGCGAAAGCGUGGGGAGCAAACAGG